rnacentral:rRNA from 1 species
GACGAACGCUGGCGGCGUGCCUAAUACAUGCAAGUCGAGCGGACCAAAGGGAGCUUGCUCCUGGAGGUUAGCGGCGAACGGGUGAGUAACACGUGGGCAACCUGCCUGUAAGACUGGGAUAACAUCGAGAAAUCGGUGCUAAUACCGGAUAAUAAAAAGAACUGCAUGGUUCUUUUUUGAAAGAUGGUUUCGGCUAUCACUUACAGAUGGGCCCGCGGCGCAUUAGCUAGUUGGUGAGGUAACGGCUCACCAAGGCAACGAUGCGUAGCCGACCUGAGAGGGUGAUCGGCCACACUGGGACUGAGACACGGCCCAGACUCCUACGGGAGGCAGCAGUAGGGAAUCUUCCGCAAUGGACGAAAGUCUGACGGAGCAACGCCGCGUGAGUGAUGAAGGUUUUCGGAUCGUAAAACUCUGUUGUUAGGGAAGAACAAGUGCCGUUCGAAAGGGCGGCACCUUGACGGUACCUAACGAGAAAGCCACGGCUAACUACGUGCCAGCAGCCGCGGUAAA